AGUAGUUUGAUCAUGGCCUCAAGAACAACGCUGGCGGCAUGCCUAACACAUGCAAGUCGAACGAGAUCCUUCGGGGUCUAGUGGCGGACGGGUGAGUAACGCGUGGGGACCUGCCCAGGGUACGGAAUAACUACGGGAAACUGUAGCUAAUACCGUAUGAUGCCGAAAGGCCAAAGAUUUAUCGCCCUUGGAUGGACCCGCGUUGGAUUAGCUAGUUGGUGAGGUAAUGGCUCACCAAGGCGACGAUCCAUAGCUGGUUUGAGAAGAUGAUCAGCCACACUGGGACUGAGAUACGGCCCAGACUCCUACGGGAGGCAGCAGUGGGGAAUAUUGGACAAUGGGGGCAACCCUGAUCCAGCAAUGCCGCGUGAGUGAUGAAGGCCUUCGGGUUGUAAAGCUCUUUUACCCGGGAAGAUAAUGACUGUACCGGGAGAAUAAGCCCCGGCUAACUCCGUG
rnacentral:rRNA from 1 species